rnacentral:rRNA from 1 species
AUUGAACGCUGGCGGCAGGCUUAACACAUGCAAGUCGAGCGGAGAUGAGGUGCUUGCACCUUAUCUUAGCGGCGGACGGGUGAGUAAUGCUUAGGAAUCUGCCUAUUAGUGGGGGACAACAUUCCGAAAGGAAUGCUAAUACCGCAUACGUCCUACGGGUGAAAGCAGGGGAUCAUCGGACCUUGCGCUAAUGGAUGAGCCUAAGUAGGAUUAGCUAGUUGGUGGGGUAAAGGCCUACCAAGGCGACGAUCUGUAGCGGGUCUGAGAGGAUGAUCCGCCACACUGGGACUGAGACACGGCCCAGACUCCUACGGGAGGCAGCAGUGGGGAAUAUUGGACAAUGGGGGGAACCCUGAUCCAGCCAUGCCGCGUGUGUGAAGAAGGCCUUAUGGUUGUAAAGCACUUUAAGCGAGGAGGAGGCUACUGAGACUAAUACUCUUGGAUAGUGGACGUUACUCGCAGAAUAAGCACCGGCUAACUCUGUGCCAGCAGCCGCGGUAA